rnacentral:lncRNA from 1 species
ACCUUCUCAACAUGGCGAGCUUGCUGGACGUCACGUCGCCUUCGCCUUUUCCGCUGCGGACUCUGCUCACCGACCUCCUCAGUAGAGCCGGCCCUGCUCACUACCGCGCCCACGUGUCCUGUUGUGCUUCAUUCCCACAGGCCGCAUAAGCGGCAUCCCUCGCAGGCCCGUGUUGUUCCCAACUGGUGUUCCCACCUGGCGGCAAACUGGUGACUGUAGUUACAGAUCUUCAACAUCACACUCAGGAGAAGAAGGAGAUUGCUUUUCAGGAGCUCCUGCAAGCCGGAGAAUAAAAGCUCUUAUUUAUUCAGAAGCCCUAAAACAUACCACCUUGGCUAUAGACUAUUUGGACAUUUCUAAGCAAAUCUGUCUGCAAAGGUGCUGAGCUGUGUUGAUCAACUGAAGCCCGUGACGUCUCAUCCUUGCAGUUGGAGAUAAACCUUGCUAUGCUGGAGAUUACUUAGGUGGGCCAGGAUUUCUUGAAACCAAAACUUUACUGAAUCACCUCUUCACCAUCUGUAUGCCGUGCAUUUGCUGAGAGAUAAAAACAUUCCUGUGAAAGAUGCCCUUCCCUGCACCGGGAGAAAAGAAGCAUUCUGCGACCAGGAGCCAUAGCGAAGAUAAUUCUGUAGAAACAGACCGUGAUCCAGCCAGGAACUAAGAAGGCAGAGGUAGAGUCUCACUUCUCCUCUACAGUUUCCUUUAGAGUUUCUGUGCUGAGCAAACCUCCCUGCGAAGUUAAUCAGAUGCUGGACUUCUUCCCUCAAUCACACCAGUUGCCCAGGGAGAGAGACACUUACAGGACACUCCCUUCUGCCUAUUCAAGUAGUGCCCCUUCUACUAUUUAAAAAUUUGUGUGGCUAACAUGGUGAAACCCCGUCUCUACUAAAAAAUACAAAAAAAAAAAAAAAUUAGCUAGGCAUGGUGGCGGGCGCCUGUAAUCCCAGCUACUCGGGAGGCUGAGGGAGGAGAAUGGCAUGAACCUGGACGGCAGAGGUUGCAGUGAGCCGAGAUCGCGCCACUGCACUCCAGCCUGGGAGACAGAGCAAGACUCUGUCAAAAAAAAAAAAAAAAGAAUUUGUGAGUGCACAGUCAUCUUCAAAGGGAGAAUGAAAUGCACAAGAGAAAAGAAGGAGAAAUGAGUAGCUUGUUUUAGCACUUUAGCCUGAUGUUCAGUUGUGUCAAAUAAAGAAGCCUCUUAGAGAGUCACAUGGCAGGUGCUUCACAAGCUGAAAGGGUAACCACUCCAGAGAUCCUCAGCCACCUUUUAUGAGGCUCGGGCAAGCACGAACAUCAUAUUUCAGUUCAGUUGGAUGUAUCAAUCAUUAGAUCUAUUUCUAGAACUUAAAGGUGCUCCAAUCCAAGAGCAGCAUGUCACCUCAAAAGCAAAGCACCACAAAUUACAGCAAUAGUAGGAAACAUAUUUGAAUACACUGAUUAAUGUCAAUGUGUUCACUGUAGUUUUUCCAAUCUAUACUUCACUAAAUGUGCAUAUUUGAAAGCCCUGAGGGACUAUGAUUACCCCAAAACCCUGGUGUUGUUAAAGUAUUUGAUGUCAGAAAAAAUUAAAUUCCUAGGAUUCCUAUAUUCAAAUUAUUAUGUAACUGUUUG